AUUGAACGCUGGCGGCAUGCCUUACACAUGCAAGUCGAACGGUAACGGGCCUUCGGGUGCCGACGAGUGGCGAACGGGUGAGUAAUACAUCGGAACGUGCCCGAUCGUGGGGGAUAACGAGGCGAAAGCUUUGCUAAUACCGCAUACGAUCUACGGAUGAAAGCAGGGGACCGCAAGGCCUUGCGCGGACGGAGCGGCCGAUGGCAGAUUAGGUAGUUGGUGGGAUAAAAGCUUACCAAGCCGACGAUCUGUAGCUGGUCUGAGAGGAUGAUCAGCCACACUGGGACUGAGACACGGCCCAGACUCCUACGGGAGGCAGCAGUGGGGAAUUUUGGACAAUGGGCGCAAGCCUGAUCCAGCCAUGCCGCGUGCAGGAUGAAGGCCUUCGGGUUGUAAACUGCUUUUGUACGGAACGAAAAGCCUUCUUUUAAUACAGGAGGUUCAUGACGGUACCGCAAGAAUAAGCACCGGCUAACUACGUG
rnacentral:rRNA from 1 species